rnacentral:rRNA from 1 species
GAUGAACGCUGGCGGCGUGCCUAAUACAUGCAAGUCGAGCGAACGGACGAGAAGCUUGCUUCUCUGAUUUUGCGGCGGACGGGUGAGUAACACGUGGAUAACCUACCUAUAAGACUGGGAUAACUUCGGGAAACCGGAGCUAAUACCGGAUAAUAUUUUGAACCUCAUGGUUCAAAAGUGAAAGACGGUCUUGCUGUCACUUAUAGAUGGAUCCGCGCUGCAUUAGCUAGUUGGUAAGGUAACGGCUUACCAAGGCAACGAUGCAUAGCCGACCUGAGAGGGUGAACGGACACACUGGAACUGAGAAACGGUACAGACUCCUACGGGAGGAAGCAGUAGGGAAUCUUACGCAAUGGGCGAAAGCCUGACGGAGCAACGCCGCGGGAGGGAUGAAGGUCUUCGGAUCGUAAAACUCUGUUAUUAGGGAAGAACAUAUGUGUAAGUAACUGUGCACAUCUUGACGGUACCUAAUCAGAAAGCCACGGCUAACUACGUG